UACAGAGACUGCGAGCGUUAUUCGGAUUCACUGGGCGUAAAGGGUGCGCAGGCGGCCGUGUGUGGGGCGUGAAAGCCCGGGGCUUAACCCCGGAAUUGCACCUCAAACUACAUGGCUAGAGUACUGGAGAGGGUAACGGAAUUCACGGUGUAGCAGUGAAAUGCGUAGAUAUCGUGAGGAACACCAGAGGCGAAGGCGGUUACCUGGACAGUUACUGACGCUCAGGCACGAAAGCGUGGGGAGCA
rnacentral:rRNA from 1 species